AGUGAACGCUGGCGGUAGGCCUAACACAUGCAAGUCGAACGGCAGCACAGUAAGAGCUUGCUCUUACGGGUGGCGAGUGGCGGACGGGUGAGGAAUACAUCGGAAUCUACUUUUUCGUGGGGGAUAACGUAGGGAAACUUACGCUAAUACCGCAUACGACCUACGGGUGAAAGCAGGGGAUCUUCGGACCUUGCGCGAUUGAAUGAGCCGAUGUCGGAUUAGCUAGUUGGCGGGGUAAAGGCCCACCAAGGUGACGAUCCGUAGCUGGUCUGAGAGGAUGAUCAGCCACACUGGAACUGAGACACGGUCCAGACUCCUACGGGAGGCAGCAGUGGGGGAUAUUGGACAAUGGGCGCAAGCCUGAUCCAGCCAUACCGCGUGGGUGAAGAAGGCCUUCGGGUUGUAAAGCCCUUUUGUUGGGAAAGAAAAGCAGCAGGUUAAUACCCCGCUGUUCUGACGGUACCCAAAGAAUAAGCACCGGCUAACUUCGUG
rnacentral:rRNA from 1 species